GACGAACGCUGGCGGCGUGCUUAACACAUGCAAGUCGAGCGGUAAGGCCCUUUCGGGGGUACACGAGCGGCGAACGGGUGAGUAACACGUGGGUGACCUGCCCUCAGCUCUGGGAUAAGCCUGGGAAACCGGGUCUAAUACCGGAUAUGACUCCAUGACGCAUGUUGUGGGGUGGAAAGCCUUGUGCGGCUGAGGAUGGGGCCCGCGGCCUAUCAGCUUGUUGGUGGGGUGAUGGCCUACCAAGGCGACGACGGGUAGCCGGCCUGAGAGGGCGACCGGCCACACUGGGACUGAGACACGGCCCAGACUCCUACGGGAGGCAGCAGUGGGGAAUCUCGCGCAAUGGGCGAAAGCCUGACGCAGCGACGCCGCGUGAGGGAUGAC
rnacentral:rRNA from 1 species